rnacentral:rRNA from 1 species
CGAACUGUGCGAACGUUAUUCGGAAUCACUGGGCUUAAAGGGUGCGUAGGCGGUUAUCUAAGUCAGGUGUGAAAUCUCUCGGCUCAACCGGGAAACUGCGCUUGAAACUGGGUGACUGGAGGGAUGCAGGGGUGUGUGGAACUUCCGGUGGAGCGGUGAAAUGUGUAGAUAUCGGAAGGAACGCCAGCAGCGAAAGCGGCACACUGGGCAUUUUCUGACGCUGAGGCACGAAAGCUAGGGGAGUGAACGGGAUUAGAUACCCCGGUAAUCCUAGCCGUAAACACUGAGCACUGGAGGAGGGAGGCUUCGGCCUUCUUUCUCGUAGCGAAAGCGUUAAGUGCUCCGCCUGGGGAGUAUGGUCGCAAGGCUG